UAUGAACGCUGGCGGCGUGCCUAAUACAUGCAAGUCGAGCGAACAGACGAGGAGCUUGCUCCUCUGACGUUAGCGGCGGACGGGUGAGUAACACGUGGAUAACCUACCUAUAAGACUGGGAUAACUUCGGGAAACCGGAGCUAAUACCGGAUAAUAUAUUGAACCGCAUGGUUCAAUAGUGAAAGACGGUUUUGCUGUCACUUAUAGAUGGAUCCGCGCCGCAUUAGCUAGUUGGUAAGGUAACGGCUUACCAAGGCAACGAUGCGUAGCCGACCUGAGAGGGUGAUCGGCCACACUGGAACUGAGACACGGUCCAGACUCCUACGGGAGGCAGCAGUAGGGAAUCUUCCGCAAUGGGCGAAAGCCUGACGGAGCAACGCCGCGUGAGUGAUGAAGGUCUUCGGAUCGUAAAACUCUGUUAUUAGGGAAGAACAAAUGUGUAAGUAACUAUGCACGUCUUGACGGUACCUAAUCAGAAAGCAACGGCUAACUACGUG
rnacentral:rRNA from 1 species